UUAGAGAAUGUAUGAAUAUUAUUAUUUUACGACAUUUUGAAAUAUCAGAAUAUUUUAUGUUGUCAUAAACUACGGCCUCGUUCAAAUUGUAGUUUGAAGCAAUUAUUAUAUUUGUUGGCUAUACACAUUAAUAUGAAAUUCAGUGGAAUAUUGAUUUUCGCUUUUAUUUUUCUUUUUAUUUAUUUAGCUGAGGCGUGCGAUGUGUGCAAUGCCAGAGAGGAUAAGUCAUGGAAAUUUGUAAAAGUGUCUAUUCCUAAGCGAAGGUUUAUGGUUCGACUCUUAAACGUUACAUCACCCUACUAAAAGUUACAUGUCCCUUACAUUUACGUAAUCAUCAGUCUUAUGUCUUUCCUAUAUAUAGCGUAUCAUAUUUUUAUAAAAAUGCAUAAAUUAUAUCUUCUGGGAUUUAUCAGGCGCGCCGUGAAUCUAGACCUAAAAAUCAACUAUUCCUGAGUGACGGUGGAGUUAAGGAUCAAGCCAAACGGACUACAUUAGCACCAAAAGUAAAAACAGUUCUACGACAACUCCGUGGAAGCAAACAUUUAAAAGACAAUGAAAAUUAUCGCUACCUUGUCAAUAAAUUGAAGAACAUAUUUCGUACCUCUCCUCCACAAUCACCCAGAAAAUGCUCUAAGUGUAAAGGCUAAUUGUAAUAUAUAAAAAUAAAGUAUUCAGUCUUCAA